CCUGCCCAUUGGGCCUCCUCCGUUGGUACGUUGUACCGGUCAUAACAUCUCUCCCCGCCUUCUCAAACAGCUCGUCUUCGAGCUGAACAUCUGGAAACUGCUGGCGGAAAUCGUCGAGCUUCUCCCAAGUCGCUUCCUCCUCUGGCAGGCCGGUCCAUUGUACCAAGACAUGCCAGACGCCGCGACGCUGCUGCGCCUGUAGCACCUUCGCCACCUGUGCGGAAGCUGGAAGGAGGCGGCCAUCCGAAAUAGGAGGAAGGG
rnacentral:lncRNA from 1 species